rnacentral:rRNA from 1 species
CCUACGGGUGGCAGCAGUGGGGAAUAUUGCACAAUGGGGGAAACCCUGAUGCAGCAACGCCGCGUGAGCGAUGAAGUAUUUCGGUAUGUAAAGCCCUAUCAGCAGGGAAGAAAAUGACGGUACCUGACUAAUAAGCCCCGGCUAACUACGUGCCAGCAGCCGCGGUAAUACGGAGGGUGCAAGCGUUAUCCGGAUUUACUGGGUGUAAAGGGUGCGUAGGCGGCGUAGUAAGCCAGAUGUGAAAGCCCGGAGCUCAACCCCGGGACUGCAUUUGAAACUGUGCUGCUGGAGUGUCGGAGAGGUAGGCGGAAUUCUUGGUGUAGCGGUGAAAUGCGUAGAGAUUAGGAGGAACAC